rnacentral:rRNA from 1 species
UACAGAGGGGGCAAGCGUUAUUCGGAAUUAUUGGGCGUAAAGGGCGCGUAGGCGGCUUGGCAAGUGGAUGGUGAAAUCCCUCGGCUUAACCGAGGAACUGCCAUCCAGACUGCCUUGCUUGAGGCCGGGAGAGGUGAGUGGAAUUCCCAGUGUAGCGGUGAAAUGCGUAGAUAUUGGGAGGAACACCAGUGGCGAAGGCGGCUCACUGGACCGGUUCUGACGCUGAGGUGCGAAAGCGUGGGGAGCAACAGG